rnacentral:rRNA from 1 species
UGCAGUCGACGGUGAAGCCCUUUCGGGGGUGGAUCAGUGGCGAACGGGUGAGUAACACGUGAGCAACCUGCCCCCUACUUCGGGAUAAGCCUUGGAAACGAGGUCUAAUACCGGAUAUGAACACUUGCCGCAUGGUGGGUGUUGGAAAGUUUUUCGGUGGGGGAUGGGCUCGCGGCCUAUCAGCUUGUUGGUGGGGUAAUGGCCUACCAAGGCGUCGACGGGUAGCCGGCCUGAGAGGGCGACCGGCCACACUGGGACUGAGACACGGCCCAGACUCCUACGGGAGGCAGCAGUGGGGAAUAUUGCACAAUGGGCGAAAGCCUGAUGCAGCGACGCCACGUGAGGGAUGACGGCCUUCGGGUUGUAAACCUCUUUCAGCAGGGAAGAAGCGAAAGUGACGGUACCUGCAGAAGAAGCGCCGGCUAACUACGUGCCAGCAGCCGCGGUAAUACGUAGGGCGCAAGCGUUGUCCGGAAUUAUUGGGCGUAAAGAGCUCGUAGGCGGUCUGUCGCGUCUGGUGUGAAAUCCCAUGGCUCAACUGUGGGCUUGCAUCGGGUACGGGCAGACUAGAGUGCUGUAGGGGAGACUGGAAUUCCUG